rnacentral:rRNA from 1 species
AGUCCUUGAAUAAAUCAAAGAUGAUUUCUGCCCAAUGAUAAAUUUUAAUACUAUAAACUGUAUAAUUAUUUAUUGAAUGGAUGCGGUAACCUUGACUGUAAUAAAGUAGCAUAAUCAUUUGUCAUUUAAUUGGUGAAGGGUAUGAAUGGAAGCACAAAUAUUUCAUUGUCUUAAAAAAAUUUUUUUGAAAUUAAAGUAAUAGUGAAGAUGCUAUUUUUAAUUGUAAGACGAAAAGACCCUAUAGAGUUUUACUAUAAUUAUUUUUUAUGGUAAUUAAUAAAUUAUUAAAUUACAUUUAAGAAUGGUUGGUAGUUUAGUUGGGGUGACUAUCUUUUAAAUUUAACAAAGAUUUCAAUAAUUAAUAAAUAAUUUACUGUAUAAUUUAUCAAUUUAACAGUUAUUAGCAUAGGUUAUAAUGACCCUUAAAAUUUGAAAAAUAAAAUUUUGAGUUUAUAGAUAAAAAUUACCUUAGGGAUAACAGGAUAAUUUUGUUUAAGAGUUCUUAUUUAAAACAAAGUUUGUCACCUCUAUGUUGAAUUAAGAUAACCUUAUGGUGCAGAGGCUAU